GCAUAUUCCAAAAAGCGGAGGAAAAGAAACCAACAGGGAUUGCCCUAGUAACGGCGAGUGAAGCGGCAACAGCUCAAAUUUGAAAGCUGGCCUUCGGGUCCGCAUUGUAAUUUGUAGAGGAUGCUUUGGGUGAAACGCCAGUCUAAGUUCCUUGGAACAGGACGUCAUAGAGGGUGAGAAUCCCGUAUGUGACUGGAAAUGUUAACCUAUGUAAAGCUCCUUCGACGAGUCGAGUUGUUUGGGAAUGCAGCUCUAAAUGGGAGGUAAAUUUCUUCUAAAGCUAAAUAUUGGCGAGAGACCGAUAGCGCACAAGUAGAGUGAUCGAAAGAUGAAAAGCACUUUGGAAAGAGAGUUAAAAAGCACGUGAAAUUGUUGAAAGGGAAGCGCUUGCAAUCAGACUUGUUUAAACUGUUCGGCCGGUCUUCUGACCGGUUUACUCAGUUUGGACAGGCCAGCAUCAGUUUCGGCGGCCGGAUAAAGGCUCUGGGAAUGUGGCCUUCACUUCGGUGAAGGUGUUAUAGCCCAGGGUGUAAUACGGCCAGCCGGGACUGAGGUCCGCGCUUCGGCUAGGAUGCUGGCGUAAUGGUUGUAAGCGACCCGUCUUGAACCAACGG
rnacentral:rRNA from 1 species